AGACCUGAAUGUUGAGCCCUGUUGGACACACACCUUUAACAGAGCAGAAACUGUCUACAGCAGACUGUAGGAUGAAUGGACCCAACCCCUGCAGCCUGCCUUGUCUGCAUCUCCUUUCUUCCUCGCCAUCUCCCUCCUACCCUGUGAGAGGAGUCUACACUUCUGAAGAGAUUCAUGAAAGAACUGGGGGCCACAGUGGGGGCCAAAGACAACAUCAAGAAUGCCCCCAAAGACCCUUUUCCACUACCCUAUUUGAAAGAUGAUACCUGGCACCUUGCAGUAUGGGAAUUCUGAGGAAAAUGAAGAGAGUUUUAAACGUGAAGGCAGGUCCAUGAGAUAAAAUCCGUGUGAGGAAGGGGAGUCACCAGAUGUUCAUCUCCCACCCCCAAAACACAAGCACAGAUGUGUAAAAUUAGGAAGGUUGGCGAUGCCAGGCUACGGACAGGAAAUAGUAAGCACUCUCAUAUGCUGUAGAGAUCUCCAGUUAUUGUCGGGGCCCCAAGAAAGCCUGCUACAUGGUCUUCACUUCCUCCGACCUUUCUGGAUGAGAGGAGCCAGGGAAAGUGAAGCAACUGCUAAUCCGCCUGCUGUAGGCAGAGUCCCUUACAGGCAGCCCCUGGCUCCUCUGCUGCUCCUCGGCUGCUCCUCCUGCUCCGGAUGCAGAGAAAAUUGUCAUUCUCAGCCAAAACAAACACUUCCUCAUCUGGGAGGCCCACGGAGUGACAAGUAGCUUUUGAUGUAGACAUCACUCCCCCAGAGAGCUAUUUGUUGGGAAGCUGGGAGGAGAAGGAAGACACUUGCCCGCCAAGAUGCUGUGCUAUCAUAUUUGUGCUUCCUGCAAUGCGAUCUUCAUGACUCUGGGCAGAAAUGAUUGCUCUGGCACUUUAAAAGGAAAGUUGCUUCUGAAACUAGAUUCUUCUGGCAGAGCUCUGACAUGCCUUUAUCAGGCCCGAUGAAAUAAUCUGCAAGGUGUUCAUUCGCUUUGAUGGAUCUUUCAUACCAGAAAUGGGGGAGAAACCAGGCAGAGGUCUGAACUUUACCAACUACAGCCGUUAGGAGCACUGGAGUGGGUUCAGGAGGUGCCUUUAUCCUGGAAAAGCAAAGAAAUUAUUUUGGAAAACUAAUUCUUGCCGUGAAAACAAAAUAGGGGGAAGCAGCUCAGAAAGAAGGUGCCUGUGAACCGUUGUCAAGAAAUGGAAGCACAUCUUUUAAAAGGGAUCCGAAUUUGAGGAAACGAAAGAGAGAAUCACUCUUCAUAAAUGGAUAUUUGUCCAGGGAAUGGGGACAGUAUUCUUUCGGAAUCAUAGACAAUAUUUAAGUGAUUUGCAUCUGUCUGGCAUACCCUUCAACAGAGUGCUGUUAUUCUGAAUCCUACUUCCUAGGUCAAUAAAAAAUAUAAAAAGCUAAGAGUAUUGGGACACCCUCCUCAUAAACCUGAAGUGCCCACCAAC